GAUGAACGCUGGCGGCGUGCCUAAUACAUGCAAGUCGAGCGAACGGACGAGAAGCUUGCUUUUCUGAUGUUAGCGGCGGACGGGUGAGUAACACGUGGAUAACCUACCUAUAAGACUGGGAUAACUUCGGGAAACCGGAGCUAAUACCGGAUAAUAUUUUGAACCGCAUGGUUCAAAAGUGAAAGACGGUCUUGCUGUCACUUAUAGAUGGAUCCGCGCUGCAUUAGCUAGUUGGUAAGGUAACGGCUUACCAAGGCAACGAUGCAUAGCCGACCUGAGAGGGUGAUCGGCCACACUGGAACUGAGACACGGUCCAGAAUCCUACGGGAGGCAGCAGUAGGGAAUCUUCCGCAAUGGGCGAAAGCCUGACGGAGCAACGCCGCGUGAGUGAUGAAGGUCUUCGGAUCGUAAAACUCUGUUAUUAGGGAAGAACAUAUGUGUAAGUAACUGUGCACAUCUUGACGGUACCUAAUCAGAAAGCCACGGCUAACUACGUG
rnacentral:rRNA from 1 species